UACGUAUGGUGCGAACGUUGUUCGGAAUCACUGGGCCUAAAGAGCACGUAGGCGGUUGAGCAAGUCCAUUGUGAAAUCCCCCGGCCUAACCGGGGAACUGCAUUGGAUACUACUUGACUUGAGUGCAGGAGGGGAGAGUGGAAUUCCAGGUGGAGCGGUGAAAUGCGUAGAUAUCUGGAGGAACGCCGGCGGCGAAAGCGACUCUCUGGUCUGUAACUGACGCUGAGGUGCGAAAGCUAGGGGAGCAAACGGG
rnacentral:rRNA from 1 species